AUGUUUUGCCAGGAGUUAUUGCCACUGUUCUUCUUAGAUCCCACGCCACAGUAAGUGUGGGGGUUUUUUUAGUUUUGAUUUUGUUAAAUAAAGACUAUUGUUUUGACCUCUGCCUCGCAUCCCUGCUUUGACUCUGCAUCGGGUUUCAGCCUUUUUGCGUCAGCAACACCGCCGCUUUGUGACACUUGAAAGUGACACCCAUCCAGAACUGGACUCGAGGUUUCUGCAUCAUCCUGCUUUGUGUUCUGCUACAUCUGCACAGCUUUUGAAAGAUUUCAGCUGUUCUCCAGGAGCCACAUUCCUCAGAGGAAGAAAAGUCAGAGGGGAAUGGGUGCAUUAAGCAUUGUGUGGCAACCCAUUGUGAAGAAAAGGAGCUGUGGUCCUGGUUUGAACAACAGCUGAGGAUUAUAAAUGCAUUGAACUUGGUGUGAGCGCCUGCAGUGGACCAAAGCCCAAAAGAUUGCAGACUGGAUCAGGACAACUGCCACACCAUCGAGGACAAACAGAAUUCAUACUGUUUUUGAUAAAGAAAACAAUGUGUUUGUUGAUAGUACUGUUUUCAAUGUUCAAAUAAAAUGGAGACAUUUCAAAGAUGAUGACUUGUGUAACAGCCAGAAAGAUUAGAGAAGACUGAGUCACAAAAGAGGACCGGGAUAUGCAACUGCCACACCCUUGAGGACAAACAGAAUUCAGACUGUUUUUGAUAAAGAAAACAUUGUGUUUG